rnacentral:rRNA from 1 species
AUUGAACGCUGGCGGCAUGCCUUACACAUGCAAGUCGAACGGCAGCGCGGACUUCGGUCUGGCGGCGAGUGGCGAACGGGUGAGUAAUGCAUCGGAACGUACCUUUCAGUGGGGGAUAACGUAGCGAAAGUUACGCUAAUACCGCAUAUUCUGUGAGCAGGAAAGCAGGGGAUCGCAAGACCUUGCGCUGAUUGAGCGGCCGAUGUCAGAUUAGCUAGUUGGUGAGGUAAAGGCUCACCAAGGCGACGAUCUGGCGGGUCUGAGAGGAUGAGCCGCCACACUGGGACUGAGACACGGCCCAGACUCCUACGGGAGGCAGCAGUGGGGAAUUUUGGACAAUGGGGGCAACCCUGAUCCAGCCAUGCCGCGUGAGUGAAGAAGGCCUUCGGGUUGUAAAGCUCUUUCGGCCGGGAAGAAAUCGCAUGGGUUAAUACCCUGUGUGGAUGACGGUACCGGAAUAAGAAGCACCGGCUAACUACGUGCCAGCCGCCGCAGUAAAAC